rnacentral:rRNA from 1 species
UACGUAGGGUGCGAGCGUUGUCCGGAAUUACUGGGCGUAAAGAGUUCGUAGGCGGUUUGUCGCGUCGUUUGUGAAAACCCGGGGCUCAACUUCGGGCUUGCAGGCGAUACGGGCAGACUUGAGUGUUUCAGGGGAGACUGGAAUUCCUGGUGUAGCGGUGAAAUGCGCAGAUAUCAGGAGGAACACCGGUGGCGAAGGCGGGUCUCUGGGACCGAACUGACGCUGAGGAAGCGAAAGCGUGGGGUAGCAAACAGGAUUAGAACUACCGUAGUCA